CGGGCGGCCGUGACCCUGCUGGAGUGCGGGGGGGACCUCCAGCCUCCCGGGGGGUCCCUGACUCUGCUCUGCCGUGGAUCUGGGUUCACUUUUGGGAGUUACGACAUGGCCCGGGUUCGGCAAAGCCCCGGGAAGGCGCUGGAAUGGCUCGCAGGGAUCAGGAGCGAUGGCAGCAGCACCUAUUACGCGCCGUCGGUCAAGGGCCGGUUCUCGAUCUCCAGGGACAACGGGCAGAGCUCGGUGACGCUGACCAUGAACAACCUCAAGGACGAGGAUUCCGGUGUUUAUUUCUGCACCAAGAACAGUGGCAGUAGUUGUUGUUAUGGUGCUUAUGUUGAUUUUGGCGCUCAUCACGGCCCCCAGUGCCCCCAUCAUGGUCCCUAA